AACGAACGCUGGCGGCAUGCCUAACACAUGCAAGUCGAACGAGACCUUCGGGUCUAGUGGCGCACGGGUGCGUAACGCGUGGGAACCUGCCCUUAGGUUCGGAAUAACUCCCCGAAAGGGGUGCUAAUACCGGAUAAUGUCUUCGGACCAAAGAUUUAUCGCCUUUGGAUGGGCCCGCGUUGGAUUAGCUAGUUGGUAGGGUAAAAGGCUACCAAGGCGACGAUCCAUAGCUGGUCUGAGAGGAUGAUCAGCCACACUGGGGCUGAGACACGGCCCAGACUCCUACGGGAGGCAGCAGUGGGGAAUAUUGGACAAUGGGCGAAAGCCUGAUCCAGCAAUGCCGCGUGAGUGAUGAAGGCCUUAGGGUUGUAAAGCUCUUUUACCCGGGAUGAUAAUGACAGUACCGGGAGAAUAAGCUCCGGCUAACUCCGUG
rnacentral:rRNA from 1 species